AAACGGUUCAAUUUGCGACUUCAAUAGCUGCAAACACGACAUUUUUCUUCAUUACGUCUUCCACAAAGGUCGAAACGAGAAACAAAUUGUACCGCGUGGCAGAGGAAACGAUGUCGUUUGGUGCAUCUCUACUCUCCCCAUCUUUCAAACCUCUAUGCCAUCGAAUUCGAGCUUCCGCGUCCGACGUUCCUGACUUUCUAUCUCCGGAUUGGUAGUCUUCUCUGUUUGUAUCUCUCUAUUUAUUUCUUUGUAUAUAUAUGAAGCUCUAUUUUAUUUUAUUUUUUUGGGGGUAUAAUUUUGCUUUUUUUUUUUUUGGAAAUUCCUUUUUCACCACUGUUACUGAUAUGCAGUGCGAAAUUUGGUGUUGAUCCGAAUGUUAUUUAUGCCCGAUCCAUGUAGAUAUCCCGUGUAAUCAAUAUCUCUAUGAUUUUUUAUGUUCGAGUGUGUGAGUUUUUGCGAAUAAUUGGCUAAUUAUAAUAUAAAGAAAGAUAAUAGCAGGUGUGCUGUUAGGGGUUUGCCUGAAUUAUUUCAUGGGGGUUGUGUAAAUAGUGAUUUUGUAUCCUUACUGUAACGAAACCUGUUUUCUUACUUUAAUUGCUCCAUAAAUCAUAAACACAUUGAAAAUCAUGGUCUUCGGUUUCAGCGUGCCUCAAACUUUAGAACAAAAAUAGCAACUUUCCUUGGGUGGUCUGUUCUUGGGAAGUGCUAAGUCGUAGGAGAGGGGAUUGAUCCUCGAGACUUUCGAUCCAUAGGACUUUAUAAUGAUUGUUGUCUUCUUUCAUGAAUAUCUUGAACUAGUUUUGUAGCUACGUCUUGGCUUAGAUUGAUAGUUCUGCAAAUUUGGUCUGCAUUAAAUUCUCUUGGCAUCCCAUAAGUUUUGCAAGAUCAACAUAUAUUUCUCUGAUUUAUUUCAAUGUAUAUUUGUAGGCUUGAGUCUCGCAGGAAAAGACCUUCUGGUCCGAGAUUAAGUGUAAUUUUCUAACUAUAGAACUCAUCCAACUUAGCCCUUGUUUGAUAUAGAUUAUAAUCAAAUUUUCAAUAAAUUUUGAUAUUUAAAAAAAUUUAUGAAAUGUGGUAAAAAAAUUGUGGAUUGCGUAAAAUAUGUGUUUAAAAUUAAUUGUUUACUUUGACUUGAUAUUUUUAAUUCGAUUUUAAUCUAAACCAAACUGGGGCUUUACAAAUAUGCAUGCAUUCAACCUCUGUGUGUGUGUGAGAGAGAGAGAGAGAGUGAAACAUGAGCGAAGAGUGAAAUGCAAAUGAAUGUACUUAUUUAAUUGGUUUACGAACUUUUUGUUGGCUGAAAGAUAUUUGCCUGUUAAUACGUUAGAUACUUGUUGUCUUUUGAAAUUGUCUCUUUUUUGGCUUACAAAUCAUUGAGUUGAGCUAAUAGAAUAUUAUAAUUUAACUAUACAUUCUUCAAAAAAUAUUAUUUAAUAACUGAUUAUUCUCAAAUAAAUUCUAUUAAACAAUCCUUUGUUGAUCAAAAUAAUGUGUAAUUUUAUUUUGAGCCAAAACGGUUCAAUUUGCGACUUCAAUAGCUGCAAACACGACAUUUUUCUUCAUUACGUCUUCCACAAAGGUCGAAACGAGAAACAAAUUGUACCGCGAAACGAUGUCGUUUGGUGCAUCUCUACUCUCCCCAUCUUUCAAACCUCUAUGCCAUCGAAUUCGAGCUUCCGCGUCCGACGUUCCUGACUUUCUAUCUCCGGAUUGGUAGUCUUCUUUCUUUGUAUCUCUCUAUUUAUUUCUUUGUAUAUAUAUGAAGCUCUAUUUUUAUAUAUAUAUAUUUUUUUUGGGUAUGAUUUUGUAAUUUUUUUGGAAAUUCCUUUUUUACCACUGUUACUGAUAUGCAGUGCGAAAUUUGGUGUUUAUCCGAAUGUUAUUUAUGCCUGAUCCAUGUAGAUAUCCCGUGUAAUCAAUAUCUCUAUGAUUUUUUAUGUUCGAGUGUGUGAGUUUUUGCGAAUAAUUGGCUAAUUAUAAUAUAAAGAAAGAUAAUAGCAGGUGUGCUGUUAGGGGUUUGCCUGAAUUAUUUCAUGGGGGUUGUGUAAAUAGUGAUUUUGUAUCCUUACUGUAACGAAACCUGUUUUCUUACUUUAAUUGCUCCAUAAAUCAUAAACACAUUGAAAAUCAUGGUCUUCGGUUUCAGCGUGCCUCAAACUUUAGAACAAAAAUAGCAACUUUCCUUGGGUGCUCUGUUCUUGGGAAGUGCUAAGUCGUAGGAGAGGGGAUUGAUCCUCGAGACUUUCGAUCCAUUGGACUUUAUAAUGAUUGUUGUCUUCUUUCAUGAAUAUCUUGAACUAGUUUUGUAGCUACGUCUUGGCUUAGAUUGAUAGUUCUGCAAAUUUGGUCUGCAUUAAAUUCUCUUGACAUCCCAUAAGUUUUGCAAGAUCAACAUAUAUUUCUCUGAUUUAUUUCAAUUUAUAUUUGUAGGCUUGAGUCUCGCAGGAAAAGACCUUCUGGUCCGAGAUUAAGUGUAAUUUUCUAACUAUAGAACUCAUCCAACACAUGCUGCCAUCUUUCUCUUGUACCAUGUUGAUUAAAAUCUAUGUUGU
rnacentral:lncRNA from 1 species